AGUAUAUAUCAAAAUCAAUUUUGCAGUCUAGAAUUUAACCUAAUGAUCCAAUUGAAUUAAAUUACAAUGUUAAUGUUAGAUAAUGAUCAAAUCCAAUUUGGGUUUGCUAAAUUUGUUGGUUUGGUUAAAUGUAAAACCACAGAUUUUAUUUCUGGCUGUAUUUUUUUUCCCCAGAUGUUGGUGAAGACCUGCUAAAGAUGUGUGAAAAUAAUGUUGUCCUAAAUAGAAGGCUUACAGAUCUAUCAGGU